CAUUAGCCACAGAAACGGCAGUGGUUGCGGAAACAGCGUACGAACUAGGAAACUUGGCGAGGGAAGAAGAUCAAACAAAGUUCUUUGGUGUGAUCACUGCAAACGUGAAUGGCAUACACGUGAAACUUGUUGGAAUCUUAAAGGCAAACCUCCUAACUUGAAGAAGAAAAGUGGUCGUUCAUUUUAGGCUAGUAAUUCUGAUCAAGGGUAGCAACCUUCUCCGUCUCAGAUUCCACUCAUUACGGAGCAACUAGACAAACUGUACAAAGUCC
rnacentral:lncRNA from 1 species